UAGACCAGUCUUCCCCAUGAGCCUCUAUACUGCUCAAUGCGAAACGAUAACCGACUAGUCACUACACCCAAUUCGUAACUAUCUAUUACAGUUUCGUUUCACGAAAUCAAACAAUGUAAUGAACUCAGUCAUCACUCAAUUCACAUAAAUCGGUUUAUUAUUUAAGACUCCAAUCCUCCUAGAACUCUAGGACCUACACAGCUCAGGCGGACCAACCCUCCCCUUUUCUUGCUGCGUUCCUGUGGAGCCGCCUGCCCUGGUACACUCGGCAUCCGGUUCCCUAGGAUGUAGUCUAUACCCCUUGCAGUGUAUUACGACCCCUUCCCGCCAAGACUCGACGUGACUCAAACUUACCGGUGCCUCUAAUCUUACCCUGCCGUUUUUGAACGCUACGUCCGCCGCAUUUUCCUUUACUCCCCACCAGUCCCUCGGUGGUUCGUAUUUCAUUCAAUUAAUUUUCCCAUACUCCCCACCAGUCCCUCGGUGGUUCGUAUUUCAUUCAAUUAACUUUCCUUUUUCCUUUUUCCUUUAUUUCCUUUUUCUUAUCAUUUCUUUUUUCCUUAUCAUUCCUUUUUCCUUAACCUUUAGACUCUUUUUUACUUUCCUUUUUAGACGCCACCCGUUCUCGGUGUCACACUAAAUCCAUUUAACAAUCAUUCACGCAUAUCCUAUCAUUCAUCUAACCAGACCGGUUAAAUGUUCUCUUAAGAUCCUACGAUUAAUUCUUUCUAACCAUCCUAGCUCUCAAUCAC
rnacentral:lncRNA from 1 species